rnacentral:tRNA from 1 species
AGAGAUAUAAUUCGGUGGUAGAGUAUUACAUUGAUAUGAUGGAAGUGAUCAAUUCGAGUCUGAUUAUCUCUA